rnacentral:rRNA from 1 species
UACGUAGGGUGCGAGCGUUGUCCGGAAUUAUUGGGCGUAAAGGGCUCGUAGGCGGUUUGUCGCGUCGGGAGUGAAAUCAUCUGGCUUAACUGGGUGCUUGCUUUCGAUACGGGCAGACUAGAGGUAUGCAGGGGAGAACGGAAUUCCUGGUGUAGCGGUGAAAUGCGCAGAUAUCAGGAGGAACACCGGUGGCGAAGGCGGUUCUCUGGGCCUGUACUGACGCUGAGGAGCGAAAGCGUGGGGAGCGAACAGG